UACGUAGGGUGCGAGCGUUGUCCGGAAUUAUUGGGCGUAAAGCGCGUGUAGGCGGCUUUGCAAGUCGGGUGUGAAAGCCCUCAGCUCAACUGAGGAAGUGCGCCCGAAACUGCAGAGCUUGAGUACCGGAGAGGGUGGCGGAAUUCCCCAAGUAGAGGUGAAAUUCGUAGAUAUGGGGAGGAACACCGGUGGCGAAGGCGGCCACCUGGACGGAUACUGACGCUGAGACGCGAAAGCGUGGGUAGCAAACAGG
rnacentral:rRNA from 1 species